rnacentral:rRNA from 1 species
GGAUUAGAUACCCUGGUAGUCCACGCCGUAAACGAUGUCUACUAGCCGUUGGGGAACUUGAUUCUUUAGUGGCGCAGCUAACGCGAUAAGUAGACCGCCUGGGGAGUACGGCCGCAAGGUUAAAACUCAAAUGAAUUGACGGGGGCCCGCACAAGCGGUGGAGCAUGUGGUUUAAUUCGAAGCAACGCGAAGAACCUUACCUGGUCUUGACAUCCAGAGAACUUUCCAGAGAUGGAUUGGUGCCUUCGGGAACUCUGAGACAGGUGCUGCAUGGCUGUCGUCAGCUCGUGCCG